AGUGAACGCUGGCGGCAGGCCUAACACAUGCAAGUCGAACGGCAGCACAAGAGAGCUUGCUCUCUGGGUGGCGAGUGGCGGACGGGUGAGGAAUGCAUCGGAAUCUGCCCAUUUGUGGGGGAUAACCUCGGGAAACCGGGACUAAUACCGCAUACGACCUACGGGUGAAAGCAGGGGAUCUUCGGACCUUGCGCAGAUGGAUGAGCCGAUGCCGGAUUAGCUAGUUGGAGGGGUAAAGGCCCACCAAGGCGACGAUCCGUAGCUGGUCUGAGAGGAUGAUCAGCCACACUGGGACUGAGACACGGCCCAGACUCCUACGGGAGGCAGCAGUGGGGAAUAUUGGACAAUGGGCGCAAGCCUGAUCCAGCCAUGCCGCGUGUGUGAAGAAGGCCUUCGGGUUGUAAAGCACUUUUGUUGGGAAAGAAAAGCAGCCGGUUAGUACCCGGUUGUCAUGACGGUACCCAAAGAAUAAGCACCGGCUAACUUCGUG
rnacentral:rRNA from 1 species